rnacentral:tRNA from 1 species
UAGCUCAGUUGGUAGAGCAUGGUGUUUGCAUUGCAUGGUGUUUGCAACGCCAGGGUUGUGGGUUCGAUUCCCAC